rnacentral:lncRNA from 1 species
GGGGGGGAGGGGGCGGGGUCAGGGGAGGAGGCGGAGUCUGUUAAAUAAGCGGGGGCGGGGCCAGGCGGCUGUCAAUCAAAUGGAGCUGUCAAUCAAACGGGGCUGUCAAUCAACCCGGGCUGUCAAUCAAGUGGAGCUGUCAAUCAAACUGGAGAUGUCAAUCAACCGGAGCUGUCAAUCACGGCUGUCAAUCAGACGAGGCUGUCAAUCAACCCGGGCUGUCAAUCAAGUGGAGCUGUCAAUCAAACGGGGCUGUCAAUCAAAUUGAGCUGUCAAUCACCGGCUGCUGUCAAUCAGGGGCUGUUAUUUGAUGAGCUGUCAAUCAAAUGGGGCUGUCAAUCAAACGGAGCUGUCAAUCACGCGCUGCCUGGAGUGUCAAUCAAGUGGAGGUGUCAAUCAAAUGGAGCUGUCAAUCAAACGGGGCUGUCAAUCAAUUCUAUCCACCAGAUUGAGCUGUCAAUCAAAGCUAUUCAUCAAAUUGAGCUGUCAAUCAAGGGAUAUCAAUCAAAUUGA